CCUUUUGAAAAGCUGAAUUCCCAGGGGUAAAGCCCUGGGAUACGGGGGACCCAACCUUUUUGGGGUGAAUCAGAAGCAAAAAAGCUUCUGUAGGGCUAACCCUUUCGGCCCGAACCCGUCAGCUAACCUCGGAAGCUUUGAAAGGGAGGCAAA
rnacentral:sRNA from 23 species